rnacentral:rRNA from 1 species
ACGUAGGGGGCAAGCGUUGUCCGGAAUCAUUGGGCGUAAAGCGCGUGUAGGCGGCCAGAAAAGUCCGCUGUGAAAACUCGAGGCUCAACUUCGAGCUGUCGGUGGAAACUUUCUGGCUAGAGUCCGGAAGAGGAGAAUGGAAUUCCUGGUGUAGCGGUGAAAUGCGCAGAUAUCAGGAAGAACACCCGUGGCGAAGGCGGUUCUCUGGGACGGUACUGACGCUGAGACGCGAAAGCGUGGGGAGCGAACAGGA